UUCAAUAUAAUAGGGGUCUAUCAAUGCAAGUUAGCUAAAAUACUGUGAUUGAUGAGUGGAGAGGUGGCUUAGGUGCAUCUCUGGUGGAAUGUUUAGGCAUGUUUGAGUUCUUGGUGCAGCAUUCUUACAUUUUUUGAAUACCCUUGUUGGAAUUUCGACUUUCGGAUGCGCCUCUACAAUUGAGAUUUAUUAGAGUGCAAUUCCUAAAAGUUGAACCAGUCAAA
rnacentral:lncRNA from 1 species